AGAGUUUGAUCAUGGCUCAGAGCGAACGCUGGCGGCAGGCUUAACACAUGCAAGUCGAGCGCCUGUAGCAAUACAGGAGCGGCAGACGGGAGAGUAACACGUGGGAACAUACCCUUCGGUUCGGAAUAACUCAGGGAAACUUGAGCUAAUACCGGAUACGCCCUUACGGGGAAAGAUUUAUUGCCGAAGGAUUGGCCCGCGUCCGAUUAGCUAGUUGGUGAGGUAACGGCUCACCAAGGCGACGAUCGGUAGCUGGUCUGMGAGGAUGAUCAGCCUCAUUGGGACUGAGACACGGCCCAAACUCCUACGGGAGGCAGC
rnacentral:rRNA from 1 species